rnacentral:misc_RNA from 1 species
AUGCGAUACGUAAUGUGAAUUGCAGAAUUCAGUGAAUCAUCGAAUCUUUGAACGCAUAUUGCGCUCUUUGGUAUUCCGAAGAGCAUGCUUGUUUGAGUAUCAGUAAACACCUCAAAGCUUUUGAUUUUUUUUUGAAAGCUUUGGACUUGAGCAAUCCCAACACCAGUCUUUUUUAGAUCGGAGGCGGGUUGCUUGAAAUGCAGGUGCAGCUGGACAUUCUCCUGAGCUAAAAGCAUAUUCAUUUAGUCCCGUCAAACGGAUUAUUACUUUUGCUGCAGCUAACAUAAAGGGAAUUUGACCGUAUUGGCUGACUGAUGCAGGAUUUCACAGGGGUCGGCAACGACGCUUGUUAAACUCGAUCUCAAAUCAAGUAAGACUACCCGCUGAACUUAA